rnacentral:lncRNA from 1 species
GUAGUCCUCUCCUCUGCCACGCCCACCGCUGCCUCCCGCCACAGAGAGCGCAUUGAGUCGCGUCGCCUAUCCAGUCAGGGGAGAGAAACGUGGUGUGAAUGCACCUUCACCGCCGAUGCAUUCGGCUUCCUCGACGGCGCACGGCACCGACACAAACAAGCCAUUGAAGUGUGAUUGAUUCUUACGAGGAAAGAGCUGGAGACUUCCACCGGCAAGACAUCUUGGUCGAAGCUUGACUUUUUCUUUUUUUUCAUUUCUUAGGAUGUACUGUUGUCCACUCGCGUUUCCCAUCUAGAGAGACUGGAUCCUGGGUAGGAUUAACAUUAAAUUCCGCUGUGGUAGCAGACUCCGAGAACACUUGGCCAAUCGGUCACCGAAGGGCUGGAAAGAGAGCAGAGUGAACCAAAACUACUUCGCUUUUCAUCUCACAGAUUUUUCUUCUACCAGAUCAGUUUUAAUGAAGACCCAGAUCCUCCACUGACCGUCUGGCUGAAGGGACUCCAAGAAGAAGCAUGGGGUCGUCAUGGAAACCUCUUCUCCUGCUUUCCUUAAUCAGCUGCCUUUCAGACGCGGGCCGGGCCUUCGGCUGGUCCUCUUCGUCAUCGCCAUCGUCGCCAUCACUCCACUCACGGACCAGACGUAGACAGGACUACAGAGGAGGAGGAGGAGGAGGAGGAGGAGGGGGGGGGGGGAGACGACUGGUCCUCCUUCACUUCCAGUCACCAUCCCCGCCACCCCCUCCAGCUGUCAGCACCCAGCUCGCUGGAGGAGGACUCCCUCAGCCAAGGUGAGACCGACUCCCCCCAAACACGCGCUCGCUCACGUCGGGCUGCCACACCCCCAUCUGUUGGCGUCUGGCUGGUCG